rnacentral:tRNA from 1 species
GCGUCGCCAAGCGGUAAGGCACUGGUUUUUGGUACCAGCAUUCGCAGGUUCGAGCCGAGCGCGAAGCGCGA